UCUUCUUUCUUCUUUCUCUUCUGUUGUCCUUCUCGCCAGACCCACAGAGACAGCAAUAGAGAGUGAGAGAAAUCGAGUGAGAGAGAGAUGCGAGAGAGUGGGAGAUAAGGGAUUGAGAGGGAGACCGAGAGAUGCUGAGAGAGAGAUGAGAUCGGGAGAGUUGAGGAGUGAUCGAAGCCCGAUCCUCCGGUGGGUGGCGCCGUCAAGACCAGAGGACGCCGGCGACGCGAUCUCCGGUGAGCCCGUGAACCAGAGAUGACCCGGGAGAGAGAGAACCCGAAACCCGUAGUACCCGUGACCCACGACCCGUGAGGACCCGAAUCUCCAUGAUCGGCGACUGGGACUGAAAUUCGGCUGUCCCUUUAGCAGUUUCCGGCGAAGACCCGUGAGCUUAGAAGACCCGUAGCCUAGACCCGUAACCCGUGAGCUCAGACCCGCGACCCAGUGACCCGAGCAACCUAGAACCCGACGGCUUGAAGCUGGUUUUUCCGAUGAAUUUUCUGCGACUUCCAGUGGCAUUUUCCGGCGGAUUUGUUGAGGAAAAUCCCCAAGGAUCAUGUUCGGAUUGGAGACUUUAAUUGGUUCUCCAAUGUAAAGUCCAAGUGACUAGAGUCCAAGGAGUGUUCGAGUUGGAGUCUAAUGCAGCCAAGAUGAUGUUUCUUUGGCUGCAGGUACUUCGGUAUAGUCGAUGGGUCGGUAGCAGUGUGCUUGAGAUAUUAUGACUGAAGCUCGCUACGACAGUUGCAAUUGUCGGACCACGGGUUGUCCACUAUUUUAUAGGUUUGGUAUGGCUUGUGACGUUUGUGUCACUUAUUCUUUGUUAAGCCAUUAUUGUUAUAGUGUUAAUAAGACUCAAACAGAUAGAUGUUAAAUGGCUCUUUGUUGUAAUUAACUUGUGAUAGAUGUAUAAGUUGUAAUUUCCGCUAUUCAGAUUUAUGUUUUCCGCUGCA